CGUGUGCGCCGCCGCCGCCGCCGCUCUGCUGCGCCCCGCCGCCGCGGACGCGCACUGGCUCACCGUCUACCUCGCCUACCAGAACGGGUCGCUGUACAACACGUUCAAGAUGUGGGUGCGCGCAAUGAACGGCCGCAUCGAGAGCACGCGCCAGUGCUGCGUCUGCUACUACAGGCUGCACCCCACCACCGGCCGCCUGCCCGCCGCGCUCUGCCCCCGGUGCCGCAACAAGUUCCACGGCGUCUGCCUCCGCAAGUGGUUCAAGACGCACGGCGCGCCCACGUGUCCGCUCUGCCGCAGCGAGUUCUAGGCGCCGGGAGUCGCCGGGAGUCGCCGACGACCACACACACGCGCUGUUUGCUCGCUUUAUGACAACUACAGAUGUUCAAUUUAUUUGUAAUAUUUGUACAGUAAUCGCUAAUUUUAAAUCAUAAUAUGAAUAUUGAAAGAAUUGGGUCGUUUAUAACAUUGAAAAUAAAUAAAAAUUUGUAAGAGUAA